rnacentral:rRNA from 1 species
GGCGAACGGGUGAGUAAUGCAUCGGAACGUGCCAUUGAGUGGGGGAUAACGUAGCGAAAGUUGCGCUAAUACCGCAUAUUCUGUGAGCAGGAAAGCAGGGGACCGCAAGGCCUUGCGCUCUUUGAGCGGCCGAUGUCAGAUUAGCUAGUUGGUGAGGUAAAGGCUUACCAAGGCGACGAUCUGUAGCGGGUCUGAGAGGAUGAUCCGCCACACUGGAACUGAGACACGGUCCAGACUCCUACGGGAGGCAGCAGUGGGGAAUUUUGGACAAUGGGGGCAACCCUGAUCCAGCCAUGCCGCGUGAGUGAAGAAGGCCUUCGGGUUGUAAAGCUCUUUCGGCCGGGAAGAAAUCGCAUGGGCCAAUACCCUGUGUGGAUGACGGUACCGGAAUAAGAAGCACCGGCUAACUACGUGCCAGCAGCCGCGGUAAUACGUAGGGUGCGAGCGUUAAUCGGAAUUACUGGGCGUAAAGCGUGCGCAGGCGGUUUUGUAAGACAGGCGUGAAAUCCCCGGGCUUAACCUGGGAACUGCGUUUGUGACUGCAAGGCUAGAGUACGGCAGAGGGGGGUGGAAUUCCACGUGUAGCAGUGAAAUGCGUAGAGAUGUGGAGGAACACCAAUGGCGAAGGCAGCCCCCUGGGUCGAUACUGACGCUCAUGCACGAAAGCGUGGGUAGCAAACAGGAUUAGAUACCCUGGUAGUCCACGCCCUAAACUAUGUCAACUAGGUGUUGGGUGGGUAAAACCAUUUAGUACCGUAGCUAACGCUGAAGUUGACCGCCUGGGGAGUACGGCCGCAAGGUUAAAACUCAAAGGAAUUGACGGGGACCCGCACAAGCGGUGGAUGAUGUGGAUUAAUUCGAUGCAACGCGAAAAACCUUACCUACCCUUGACAUGCCAGGAACUUGCCAGAGAUGGCUUGGUGCCCGAAAGGGAGCCUGGACACAGGUGCUGCAUGGCUGUCGUCAGCUCGUGUCGCGAGAUGUUGGGUUAAGUCCCGCAACGAGCGCAACCCUUGUCGUUAAUUGCCAUCAUUUAGUUGGGCACUUUAACGAGACUGCCGGUGACAAACCGGAGGAAGGUGGGGAUGACGUCAAGUCCUCAUGGCCCUUAUGGGUAGGGCUUCACACGUCAUACAAUGGUCGGUACAAAGGGUUGCCAAGCCGCGAGGCGGAGCCAAUCCCAGAAAGCCGAUCGUAGUCCGGAUUGCAGGCUGCAACUCGCCUGCAUGAAGUCGGAAUCGCUAGUAAUCGUGGAUCAGUAUGUCACGGUGAAUACGUUCCCGGGUCUUGUACACACCGCCCGUCACACCAUGGGAGCGGGUUCCGCCAGAAGUAGGUAGCCUAACCGCAAGGGGGGCGCUUACCACGGCGGGGUUCGUGACUGGGGUGAAGUCGUAACAAGGUA